rnacentral:rRNA from 1 species
GGACCCGCACAAGCAGUGGAGCAUGUGGUUUAAUUCGACGCAACGCGAAGAACCUUACCAGCGUUUGACAUGGAAAGUACCGGUUACAGAAUGGUAACCUUCAGUUCGGCUGGCUUUCACACAGGUGCUGCAUGGCUGUCGUCAGCUCGUGUCGUGAGAUGUUGGUUAAGUCCCGCAACGAGCGCAACCCUUAUCGUUAGUUACUAACAGUUCGGCUGAGGACUCUAGCGAAACUGCCGGUGAUAAGCCGGAGGAAGGUGGGGAUGACGUCAAGUCCUCAUGGCCCUACACGCUGGGCUACACACGUGCUACAAUGGUAACUACAACGGGACGCAAUACCGCGAGGUGGAG